UACAGAGGUGGCAAGCGUUGUUCGGAAUUACUGGGCGUAAAGGGCGAGUAGGUGGCCAUCUAAGUCAGACGUGAAAUCCCCCGGCUUAACCUGGGAAUGGCGCUUGAAACUACGGGACUGGAGUAUGGCAGAGGGAGGUGGAAUUCCACGUGUAGCGGUGAAAUGCGUAGAGAUGUGGAGGAACACCGAUGGCGAAGGCAGCCUCCUGGGCCAAUACUGACGCUCAUGCACGAAAGCGUGGGGAGCAAACAGG
rnacentral:rRNA from 1 species